rnacentral:lncRNA from 1 species
UAUGUUUGUAGAGACAAGGUCUCACUAUUUUGCCCAGGCUGGUCUCGAACUCCUGGUCUCAAGCAAUAGCAGAAGUGGUUUCAGUGCCCCCGGCAGUAGCUAUAACAGACGAGUUGAUAUCCUGGCAUGUAGCAUUUGAUGGUAGUGACAGUAACAGCAGUUUUCUUAUCAGGUCAAAUCAGUUCUAUGGCUUGGAAUUAGUUCUCCAGUUUGCCCCACAAUUCUGUAAGCUGCCUAAUACCCUUAACAAAUCCCUCCUCUGCUUAAGCCAGCCAAUGUAAAAUCUGUUAUCUGUAAGUCAAGACUUCUGACUGAGCCAUUCACUAAUACAGAGGAUGCUACGGUCAACAGCUCUAGAAAAAAUUUUCUCUGGGCUCUUUUCCGAACACCGUGUUUCUCAAACUCUAGCCAUUCAUUCACUACCUUCCAAAAAAUUUGCCAUAUAUUCAUACCACACAUAAUAGUUUUUAUUUUAUUUUUGAGACAGAGUCUCGCUCUGUCACCCAGGCUGGAGUACAAUGGCGUGAUAUCGGCUCACUGCAACCUCCGCCUCCUGGGUUCAAGCGAUUCUCCUGCUUCAGCCUCCUGAGUAGCUGAGACUACAGGCGUGCACCAUGCCCAGUGCAUCCAUAAUAUUAUCUACCAAACAAUAUUCUUUUAAGUUGAUCUGUUUUUUUAAAAACUUGAUUAUUAUGCCAGUUUUUUUUCAAGCUAAUACACAUUAAAAUAAAUAUAGCACCACAAAAAUAUAAACCAUUAAUUCAAAUACCACCCCCAAAAACUCAUAACUU